AUACGAACUGUGCGAACGUUAUUCGGAAUCACUGGGCUUAAAGGGUGCGUAGGCGGUUAUUUAAGUAGGAUGUGAAAUCUCCCGGCUCAACCGGGGAACUGCGUUCUAAACUGGAUAACUUGAGUGAGAUAGAGGUGUGCGGAACUUCCGGUGGAGCGGUGAAAUGUGUUGAUAUCGGAGGGAACACCGUUGGCGAAAGCGGCACACUGGGUCUUAACUGACGCUGAGGCACGAAAGCCAGGGGAGCAAACGGGAUUAGAUACCCCGGUAGUCCUGGCUGUAAACGUUGAAUACUGGUUGGAAGGGGAUUCGUCCCAUUCCGACGUAGCGAAAGCGUUAAGUAUUCCGCCUGGGGAGUAUGGUCGCAAGGCUGAA
rnacentral:rRNA from 1 species